UACGAAGGGGGGCUAGCGUUGCUCGGAUUUACUGGGCGUAAAGGGCGCGUAGGCGGACAGUUUAGUCAGAGGUGAAAGCCCAGGGCUCAACCUUGGAAUUGCCUUUGAUACUGGCUGUCUUGAGUACGGGAGAGGUGAGUGGAACUCCGAGUGUAGAGGUGAAAUUCGUAGAUAUUCGGAAGAACACCAGUGGCGAAGGCGACUCACUGGCCCGUUACUGACGCUGAGGCGCGAAAGCGUGGGGAGCAAACAGG
rnacentral:rRNA from 1 species